GGCAAACCUUCAGGUGUUUUCUCGGUGAGAAGUGAUUAUAAGUUGCUCCAUGAUGGUGGUUGUGAUAAUCAACUUACAGAAUUACAAAAUACCAUGAAAGGAUUUUACAAGAAGUUGUGGGGAUUAAAUUUAAAUUCAAAACAACAAAUCAUAACUUGUAAAAUUUCCUGGAAUUUUUAACCUACACUAGCUAAUCUCUAUAACAAACAAAUUGGAGUCAACACAGCUUGUCCAAAAUGCGGAAGGGGUCCUGAAACUGUUGACCAUAUUUUUAGGAGUUGUCCUGUCACAGUGGAAAUGUGGAAUGAGUUGAAUCUUGGUUGGUUACUAUCUCAACCACUGCUAAAUAUAAGGGAGUGUCUAACCUGGGUUUUUCAGAGUGGUUCAGUUGAUAAUUGUAGGAGGAUUUGUUGUGCGAUGUGGGUAACCUGGAAUGAGAAAAACAAAACAUUACAUGAGGGUUCAAGAAAUUCUGGUCAAUGGGCAGCAAAAAGCAUUGGAAAAAUAUAUUAAAGAUGUAGCACCCCAAACCUGGCCCAGACGUUAUGACCGGAUCCGACAUGCCACAUCGAAGCGUUCAAAACAUUUUAUAUUGUUGAUCCAGAAAAACUUACUUAGUGUUUUAAAAGAUAAUUUCAUUAUAGGUUAAAGUGAAUGGAAGCUGUGCAUCAGGUAGGAAACCGGAAAAGAGGUGGUGAGUCCAUCGGACUGCUUAAGUACCAAGCUCCCUUCGGAUCCAAUCCUAGACAUGCAUACUGCCAUUGCCACACCUUAACGUCAUGGAUAUUUCUAGGAAACCGAUUUGAUUAAGUCAUUUUUAGGAAAAGUGAUUAAUCUUGUAAAAUACUUUUAUUGCGGAAGCUUUGCUUGUUGUCGUGUUAUUUUGAAAUCAAUUGUUGUUUUUGAAAACGCGCUCUAAAGCUAUCCAAUUUCAACAGUUAAAUAUAAGUAAUACCUAUCUUAGUAAUACAUAUUAAAACCAUCAAAAAUAAUUAAGCAGCCUUAUUACAUUUAAAAACCCAAACCUUAACGUAAAUAAUAGGAUGUCCAGUUCACUAGAAGAAAACCAAACUUUCAGAACGGGUGACCACUCCGAAUUCCCUCACAGCUCCAAGCCCACUAUGGUUGGGGAUUUCCUGCAUGGAUAAAAAUAAAAGGGGUGAGUUUGGGGAAACUCAGUGUGUAAGGAAAACCCAUUCAAAGCCCAAGUCAGCUCAAGCCUAUUGGGCCUAAGCCCAUUCAGGUAACAGUGGUACUGGACCGGAGCCCUUAUCAGAUUACAAUAAACUGGGCCUUAGCCCCUUAUUCAGAUAACAGUAUGGCCCAUAGGCCCAUUUCAAAAUACAUGCAACAUCAAUAAACAUAUACAAGCCCAUUUGGGGAGACUACUCAACCCACCAACCACUACACUCCACCUGUACCAACCAUACACUCCAUGUGGGGAAUAGCUCAACCCACCCAGCCCAACACUCCACAGUUGCAGCCUUGCUGCUCAGUUAACAGUAAAUUGAGGCAAAGCCUCCAGUACGUGGACAAGCUACUUUCAGUACUUCCUCCGUCAAUAUCCCAAUCCCAUGCAUCAGAUAAUAACAACAUGACAUGCAGUAAAUAACAACAGUCAAACAUGCAUUUAGGUCAAUUUAACCCUAGGGGUAUUUCGGUAAUUUUACACCUAGGGGUAUAACAGUAAUUUUCCAUACAUAGGGGUAUUAUAGUAAUUUAGCUACUUUUAGGGUUUUUCAUGCAUAUUCCUACUUUUCACGUACUAACAAAAUCACGUACCGAGGAUUCUUACCGAAUUGGGCCUGUUGGCCCAUCAUUCCAAUUUUGGCCCAUUAAGCCCAAAAAUAUCGAGGGCACAGAAAUCAUGCACUUUGCAGUCCAAAUUUUGCAGCUUACCAAAAACAUUAAUCGAUUUACCUCACGAGCAUUUGCACACUCGCAAAUCUACAAAAUACCGGUUUUCAGCAUUUCGGCUUUUCGACUUUUACCGAUCUAGACUAAGAAAGAGGGUGUUAGUUACACACCUGUUUGCGACGAUAUGCUGACGAGAUCCACACACGAACUGCCUACAAUUGGAUUACUAACACGUUAAUCUAACUAUUCAAAUACGAACUACGUAUUAACCCCUUACAAUAUUCGGCCAACCACACCUACAGAUCAUAGUAAGCUUAUAAGAAAUCAAUAAGCAACUCAUUAACAAUUUUUUGUCAAUGUUUACCACAUAAUCAUAAUUUCACUGCAAGCUGUCUUCCUGAGCAAUAGGCACUAAAUCAUUUAUAACUGGAGCUAAGAAACUCCAAAUCAAGUUCCGUUAAUUUUCCCUGAAAAUAGACUCAUAUAUCUUCUAUCCAUAAAAUUUUCAGAAUUUUUGGUUUGGCCAAUCAAUACCAGAUUUUUCUUAACGUUUCCCAUGUUUCACUGUUUGACUAAUCUGACCACUCUUCAUUACAAAUCAAAUUUCUCAUUGUACAGAAUUCAAAAUAUGUUCUCGUUUAUUUCAUUUGAAACUAGACUCAUUAAGCUUUAAUUACAUAAUUUAUUCACCUUCUAAAUCAUCUCUCACAAUUUAUGGUGAUUUUCCAAAGUCACGUUACUGCUGCUGUCCCAAGCAGAUUUAUUACCAAAUUCACUCUUUCACACAUAACUUGCAUGCAUGUUAUUUAAACAUGUAUAUCACCAAUAAAUCAUCACAUAUCUAUGAUUUUACUUAAGUAUAAUCUCCAUUUAAUCAUUUUAAAGCACAACAUGUUAGCUGAUUUUUCCCUUUAGCAUCUAAGGCACAUCCAUGUUCAUUUGUUUGGCUCAACUUCACCUAUCUUCCAUUUUUCAUCAAAAGAGCAUGAAACAACAACCAUUUCCUUCAUUUUAAUUCAUGACCAAAUGCUCACAACACAACCAAAAACCAAAAUAUUCUUCAAGAGUUAAGGUAGAAUCAAGAAGAACUCAUGAACAUCAAGAUAGAAGCAAACUACCAUGAACUUACCUUCAAUUUUCUUCCCCAAGUGACCGAACAUUCAAGAGCUUUCUCCUCUCCUUUCUCUUCUCUAACUUUAGGCUAUGAUGAACAAAGAUGGACAAAACUUUGUUCUUUUCACCCCUUUUUCUUUUAAUAAAAUUUCAUAUUUCAUCCAUUUAAUUCUUUAAUACAAAAGACAUGAAAUGCCCAUCAUGGAACAUUUACCUAAACCAUUAUCAUGGAACAUUUACCUAACCCAUUAUCAUGGAAUAUUUACCUAAUCCAUUAUCAUGGAACAUUUACCUAACCCAUUAUCAAUUUGUACCAUGAAUUAUGGAUAUCAAGUGCUCAUAUUGUCUACAACAACAUGAUGGCUGGCCACUUCAUGUAAAAUGGGAGGUUUGUCAUGCAAAUCCUCCUAUUUUGCACUCCUAUUUAUUUGGCCACUUCAAUUUAGCCUAUAGCAUUUUUAAACAUUUUCACAUAGGUCCUAUUUCAUAAUUUCACCCCCUUUUUCUUAUGGAACAAAAAUUAACUAAAAUUGUCGGGUUCUAUCUUAAGCUUGGGCCUUCUAGAGGCCCACUAACAUAAUUAAACCUAUGCCAACAUUCACAGAAUUCCCAAAAUUGGGGCGUUACAAAGGAACUAGACGAAGUGGGAGAACAAAUGCUUACCAGGAAUCGCAUGGGUCCAGAGUGGGUUCCUCUGAGAGACCCAUUUGUUUGUAUUAAUUUUAAUGUCGCUUACGAUCCAAAAGAGUUCACAUCGGGGUCAGAACUGGUUGCUAGAAACAUUAGAGGGGAGAUUUUGGUCACCAAAUCUACGCUGCUUGGGGGAGUAGUGUCUCCGUUUGCAGCAGAAGCUCUCGAGUGCGAUCAAGCAGUGGCUUUGGACAGAAGUAUGGGCAUUGACAUGGUUGAAAUAGAAGGGGAUUUAUUAUCAGUUAUCAAAAAAAGUAAAGCAAAAGAGUAAGUAUAGAUCUAAGAUUGAGGCUUUAAUUAGAGAUAUCCAGCAAAUCAAAGGAGGGUUCAAAGAAAUACAUUUAAGAUAUCUACCCAGAACAGCAAACUGAAUGGCUCAUGCAAUCGCAACUAAGGCCUUCUUUGGUUUACCAGUGAAGGCCAGUGUGGUGCAGUGAGGGAUAGUAAACUUAAAUUUUUGGUUCAAUAGCACAGUGCAGUGAAAACUUAUUUCAGCCACACUGAUAUGCUGAAAACAGGCUGGAGGAUUCAGCUGUAGUGAAGGCCAGUACAAUUGUAGGUAUUUUUUUGAGACAAACAUACCCAUACUUUUAUUUAUUAUUUUACCAUUUUAGCCUUGAAACUUAAAUUAAUUUCUUCCCCAACAACAGUUGUUUUCAGAUUUGGGAACGAAACAACCAUUUUCUUUUUCAUAUUUGAGAAGUAAAAUACUAAUUUCUCCCCUCUUUUUUGCUUUGUUCUUGGUUGUGGCUACUUUUUGAAGGUAUUUUCAUUAAUUUCUUGUUAUCUCUAGUUCUGGCUUCUUCUACUCUUCUUUGUCACAGUUGUUAUUAUUAUUACUAUUAUUUUUGAGAACGAAACAACUAUUUUCUUUUGCUUUGUUCUUGGUUUAGCAGUGUUUUAACACUGAUUUCUCCCCUCUUUUUUGCUUUGUUCUUGGUUGUGGCUGAGGUAUUUUCAUUAAUUUCUUAUUAUCUCUAGUUCUGGCUUCUUCUACUCUUCUUUGUCGCAGUUGUUAGUCCUUUUGACUAUUGAUGUUAAAGUAGUAGAUUAAUGAUCUAAUGUUUUAGAAGUGCAUUUGGUUAAUUCUUUGUCUGUUUGCUGAGAAAUGUGAGGUUAAAAAAAAAACUUUUACCAUUUCUGUUUUGUUAUUAUUGCACUCAAAUUUAAAACCCUGAACAGCAAAAAAUGAGCUUAGUUGAAUUUGGAGAAUUGAAAAGAAAAUAGACUUUGGCCUUGAUGGGGUUGAGUUUUUGGAAGUAUAUACAAAUAAUUCUUUGUUUGUUUGCUAAUAAAUAUGAGGAAAAGCAAGAUGAACUUUUCCCAUUUUUGUUUUCUUCAUAUGAGCCUAUUUUGAUUUUCUUUGGCACUCAAAUUUGAAGUCCUGAACACCAAAACUAAACUUAGUUGAAUUUGGUUAAUUGAAAAAAUAUAUGGGAACUGAAAAAAAAAAACAAGUCCUUGCUGUGUUGAUGGGAUUGAGUUUUUAGAAGUACAUUGGGAUAAAUUCUUUGUUUGUUUGCUAUGAAAAGUGAGAAGAAAAUGAACCUUACAAUUAUAUAAAUUCUUUGUUUGUUUGUUAUGAAAUGUGAGAAAAAAAAGUGAGCUUAGUUCAACAUUCAAUAUUCUGUUCUUAUGAUUUGUGUCUUGCAGGUUGGAGGCUCUGAGGUGCCUACUUCAUUUGUUAGUGUAGAAGCAGGCAAGGUAUGUAUUUGAAAUAGUGAAACUUGUUUAAAAUCGUGUAACUGUGAGGAAAAAUGUAAAAUCUUACCUACAAGUUUGAUGUCUGUGUUAUCACCAACCAUUGUGCCCCAUCUUUCUUAAAUCCUGUGAAGUCUGAAGUAAACUCUGUUUUAUGCUUAUCAGCCUCCUGAAAAUGAAAACAUAUCAACAAUUUUAAGUCAUUUCUGUAGAACAAAACAAAAGUCAAUCCUAUCAAGUAGUAUCACCAUUAUUAAAGACAUCUGAUAUAGUCAUGCUUCAAAAAUACUCUUGAUAGGAGCCCACUCAACUAUAUUCGCUUCAUGCAUAUGUAAAUGCAGACAAAUGAAAGUCAUUACUCCAAAACAAAAGUCAUUUCACAUGCAUAGUUCAUGCUUUUCUAAGUUGAUCAUGCUAACUUUCAUAAGCCGAAACACUAGUAAAAGUCAUUACUCCAGCACUUUCAAUUCACAUUUACAAUCAGUAAUCCAAAUAUACCACAUCUAGAACAAUUUAUCAAUUUAAAUUAUAUUCAACAAGUACUAUUAAAAUUUUAAAUCUGAAACUAAGAAGGAACAAAGAUUUUUAUUACAGAGAGAUAAAAAAAACCAAAAGAAAAAAGAGAAGAGAGUGGAAGGUCAAACUUUAUCAAUGGCAUGGGUUCUUAAAAAAUUAUUUGAUAACAAAGUAGCUUCUUUUUAUUGGGAAAUCUGGGUAUUCUUUCUUAAGUUUGCUGAGAGAGAAAGAAAUGGCAGUAAGUUUUUUUUUUCUUUUAACUUUAUUGUGUUUUGGUUUAGUUUACAGUACUUUUAUGUUUGUUUCCCGAGAAAAUUUCAAAUAAGCUGAGAAUUAUGGAAUUCAUUUUAUCAAAAACUCUUGUUCUUAUUAUUUAUAUCUAAAUUUCUAUCAUAAAAACUCAAAUUCCAUAGCUUUCUAAACCAUAGCAGAUUAUCAAUUAGUCACUAUAACAAAAAUUAUCAAGUGGGUUUCGAAGAGAAUUAAGCAAGGAGUUCAAAACUACUAAAAUGUAACAAAAUUAACUAGAAAUUCACCUUGAAUUUUGAUCUCAAAUUGCCGAAAUUUCAAAGCUUUUCUUCUCCAACAUUCGGCUCCCCAAAAGAUGAAUAUGCAAGCACUAACAUUUUUGUGUUUUGUUUUACCAAUAUUUGAGUUAUUA
rnacentral:lncRNA from 1 species